UUUUCCUAAAGAUUAAGCCAUGCAUGUCUAAGACAAUGAGGAAGCAAUUCUCUCUGAAUCUGCGAACGGCUCUGCAAACCAGUUGUAAACCUAAGCAAGUCCGCCCUCGGCUCGAUUCCCUCACGGGAUAGGACCGGGGGCUUAUAUGGAUAACCGUGGUAAUUCUGAGGCUAAUACAUGACAUAACGCACCUCUCCGCUUAGGGCUCCGGUUCCGGGCGGCAAGGGACGCGCGAUUACUGGCUUGAUAUUAUCGUGAAAGAACGCGCGUUCAGACCACCGCACAAAGGCGAGGACCUUCCGAGCCUGGUGGCGCUUGCAUCGUGCUUCUGACCUAUCCACUAGACGGCAGCGUAACGGACAUGCUAUGGUAACAACGAGUACAGAGGAUAAGGGUUCGAUCCUGGAGAGUGGGCCUGAGAGAUUGCUUAUACUUCUAAGGAAGGCAGCAGGCGCGCAACGUUCCCCUUGGUCAAUGACUGAGGGCAUUAGGGGACAUAUGAAUGGCUGCCUUUAAGGUGGCCAAUUCAAAUGGGUUUGUCGUAAACAGGCUCUCGAGUAACAAUUAGAGGACAAGACUGGUGCCAGCACCCGCGGUAAGUCCAGCUCUAAUAGCAUACGUUAAAGUUGUUGCGGUUAAAACGCUCGUAGUCGGCAGCAGGCCAUCAGAAGCCGGCGCCGGGAUCCCGGGUCUGUGCCCCUCGUCGGGCGCGCCGGGUGACUGGCAAUGGCGGGCGGUGGCCAGCCGCGCCCAUUGGCGUGCUUCCCUCCGGGGUCGCUUACAGGGCUUCCGCUUUCCCUCUCGGGGGGAAGCGGUCGCCUGGCCGUGGGCGCCAUUUACCGUGAUUAAACUGGCGUGAUCAAGGCAGGCCGUUCGGCCCCUGCACAGCUCAGCACGGGAUAAAGCGAGCCGGUGCCCCUUUCAAGCGGGGGGCGCUCGGUUAGCAGCAAAAGGGGUGUUCGAGGGUGACCGAAUUGCCGGGCGAGUGGUGAAAUACGUUGACCCUGGCAAGUCGACCUAAGGCGAAAGCAGUCAUCAAGGGCACGCCCAUUGAUCAAGAGCGAAAGUUAAGGGUUCGAAGACGAUCAGAUACCGUCGUAGUCUUAACUAUAAAUGAUACUGGCUAGAGAUAGGGCAAUGUCCAUCUCGACUCCCCCUGGAUCUUAGGGAAACCAAAGCCUUUGAGUUCUGGGGGGAGUAUGGUCGCAAGGCUGAAACUUAAAGGAAUUGACGGAAGGGCACACAAAGAGUGGAACCUGCGGCUUAAUUUGACUCAACACGGGAAAACUCACCAGGUCAAGAUACACGUAUGAAAGACAAGCUGAUAGACUUUUCUCAAUGAUGUAAGUGGUGGUGCAUGGUCGUUCUUAGUUCGUGGGGUGGCCUGUCUGGUCUAUUCCGAUAACGAGCGAGACCCCAACGCUCUAACUAGGGGCGGCAGCCCGGCUUGGCACCCCCCGCCCCUCACGGGGCGGGCGCCUCGCUAGCAGCCGCCUCGCGAAGCAAGCUUCUUAGACGGAUCGAGGCCGAAAAGGUCUCUGAAAUGGGUUAAUAACAGGUCAGUCAUGCCCUUAGAUGUUCUGGGCCGCACGCGCGUUACAAUGGCACGCAAAACAAGUGUUCAUUUAUCGAGUCUUCCCAUGGCCUACAGUUCGUGGUAAACCGUAAGGCCUGCCUUGACUGGGAUAGACUAUUGCAAUUAUUGGUCUUCAACGAGGAAUUUUUAGUAGUCGCGCGUCAUUAGCGCGCGACGAAUGCGUCCCUGCCCUUUGUACACACCGCCCGUCGCUGCUACCGAUUGGGUUUUGCGGUUACGCGUUCGGAGGCCGGGACAACCGCCGCCCUCAAGCGGCGG
rnacentral:rRNA from 1 species